CACUUGGGACGUAAUGGUGAUGUCAGCAAGCUCCUGGUGACAUGUAUUUGCCCCCCCCCCCCCCAACUCUCUCUGUUCCAGGACCACAAGGCCAAUCGCAGACCGGCCCCCCUGGUCCUUCUGGCUCAUCUGGGGAGCGUGGUCAGUCUGGUCGGCAGGGAUCCCCAGGAGUUAGGGGACCACCAGGACCCCCUGGGUACUGUGACUCUUCUCAGUGUGUUGGCAUUCCUUACAAUGGACAAGGAGGAUAUCAGGACGGUUACCAGCCUGAACCCAACAACCGUGUAGUGCCCAUACCCGAGGGAGCAACUGACGAUUUUGAGACAGAAAUACAAUCCCCCGGUUAUUUACAAAACCAGCGUGGAAAGAGAUCUCUAUCAAGAGAGGAGACAGAGAGGAUAGAAUCAUAAUCAGCCAAGAAGCCUGUUUUUCUCUGUAUCUUUGGAAGUUGUUUAAAAUGCUCAUUGUUUUCAAAGAUAAUGUCGAUAGAUGUAUAGAAAAGAGUCACAGCACUAUAAAACAUGAAAUACAGUAACAAAAGCUUGUCAUUUUUAUCACUUUUCUAAACCAUUGCAUAGUGCUUCAUCAAGGUUCAGUGGAAAUACUUCUCAUUUUAUCAUGAUUUCAUUCAAAAGCCCUAUGUGUUUGCUGAUUGUCCUGUUAAGUGUCUUCGCCUGUAACAUAUCCUCAUCUGUGUUCAUUUAAGGCCAGCGUUAAAAUGCACUUAAGAUGUUAACAUCAAAUUUCACCUGUUUGUGUGAAACUAACCACUAGUGUCCACUCAUCCCUUCUGUUCUAUUAUGAAAUGUGGAAGUGUUGUCAUCAUCUGGGAUGUGUUGUCCAUUCAAGUAAAGAGGGUUAUUGGUUCAUGUGCACCUUCAGUUAUACAUAAUGUGGCUUUAUUAUUUCAGACAAAAUAUUAUUUACCUGUUUUAUUACUCACAGCUGACUCUUACCAAUGGUGGAAUUGCAUGACUGUGUUGUAUAUUUAGUAAGGAUCUUUUAAACCAGAAUAUAGUUUUUUUUAUAUAUCAAUACCAAUGCAGUUGAUAUUUGUGUGCAAGACUAUAGACAUAGAAUUGCUUCAGUUGUUUUAACUGCACAUUGUGAAUUCCACAGCCUUAUUUUCUUAUUUAUUUCUGAACCAGAGGAGACAUUUUUCAAUAAAACUACUGAAAAUUGGUAAUCUGUGUUAAUU
rnacentral:lncRNA from 1 species